ACUUUGCAAUGCGGGAAACCGUGACAAGGGAACUCCGAGUGCCCGUAAAUUCGGGCUGUCCGCCAGUUUAAACAACUGGUGAAGAAAGGGCCGGGCAAGACCGGUGCCAGCCGCCGCGGUAAUACCGGCGGCUCGAGUGGUGGCCACUAUUACUGGGCUUAAAGCGUUCGUAGCUGGCUUGUUAAGUCUCUGGGGAAAUCUUCCGGCUUAACCGGAAGGCGUCUCAGGGAUACUGGCAGGCUAGGGACCGGUAGAGGUGAGGGGUACUCCAGGGGUAGGAGUGAAAUCCUGUAAUCAUUGGGGGACCACCUGUGGCGAAGGCGUCUCACCAGAACGGCUCCGACAGUGAGGAACGAAAGCUGGGGGAGC
rnacentral:rRNA from 1 species